rnacentral:rRNA from 1 species
AACGAACGCUGGCGGCAUGCCUAACACAUGCAAGUCGAACGAGAUCUUCGGGUCUAGUGGCGCACGGGUGCGUAACGCGUGGGAAUCUGCCCUUUGGUUCGGAAUAACAGUUGGAAACGACUGCUAAUACCGGAUGAUGACGAAAGUCCAAAGAUUUAUCGCCAGAGGAUGAGCCCGCGUAGGAGGUUAGCUAGUUGGUGUGGUAAAGGCGCACCAAGGCGACGAUCCUUAGCUGGUCUGAGAGGAUGAUCAGCCACACUGGGACUGAGACACGGCCAAGACUACUACGGGAGGCGGCAGUGGGGAAUAUUAGACCAUGGGCGCAACCCUGAUCCAGCAAUGCCGCGUGAGUGAUGUAGGCCUUAGGGUUGUAAAGCUCUUUUACCCGGGAUGAUAAUGACAGUACCGGUAGAAUAAGCUCCGGCUAACGCCGUGCCAGCAGCCGCCGUAA